rnacentral:rRNA from 1 species
CAGUAAUUAUUUUGUAUCCAUCUCAACACACGAACCCAUCUCGAACUCGAACUGUUAAAGGGGAUACGCCAUAUCUACUGCUUAUUAUGAGUGGAACAAAUAUGGUUAUUACUG